CAGGAGAUUGGAUUUGUUUGCAGUGUUCCUAAAGCUUAUUUGCUACGUUGCUUGAAAGAAAUCUUUUCAAAACACAGUUAAAUAAACUCCACAAAAAUUCAAGAACAAACUUGCAAAAGAGUUCUCAAGACAACUCUGUCGAUUAAGUUUUGUUUUACGUCAAUGAUGAGAUGCUAACGGGACAUCUUAAUACAAAAUUAAACAUGUAAAUACUAAAUUAUUCUGGUGUGUAAACAGCAGCCUUAGGCUAUGAAAUUUUUAAGAGUGAAAAGAAGAAGAGAACAAGAACAAGAAGAAAAUGAAGAAGAAAAAAGAAGAAAAAGAAGAAAAAGAAAAGAAGAAGAAGAAGAAGAAAAAUAAACAAAAUUGUAAUUGUAACUAUAAUAAUUCAUAAAAUAUUUUUUAUGGUCGCCAUGGUUA